UCAACAUUGCUGAUUAGUGCAUUUCUACUGAUUCAUAGUCUCAUGUUGCAGAGCACAAUACACAAGUGAUUUACGCAAAGUUUGGAGUUUGGACCAAAUAAUAUGUUUGUUAAGUGAGCAUGCAGAAAACUGAAAAUGGUUCAUAUCAAUUGUGUUGAUGAAACAAGUCCAUAUUAUGUAGUUCCUCUUGGCUUUUGAUUCUUUUCAUGGGCUUGCUGCACUGCAAGCAGCUUGCUUGUGCUUGACUGCUGUGUGGUGCUGCUGGCUGCUGCUAGUCUACAGCCACAGCCGCAGCCACUGCCAACUGCUGAAUGGGCUGGUAUUAUCUAAUCCGUUGCAAGCUUUUGUAAAAUUAUUUUUUUAGGCUACUCAAUUUUGCUAUUAGUGCUAACCAUGUUUCUUGAUUACAGAUAGUUUAAGCUGGCAAUACUUUUCUUGGUCCUGUCAUGUGUUAAAUCUACGUGUCUGUUUUAAAUUCUCGUCAAUGCAGGAGCACUCAGCAGAGCACUUCCAUUCUUCUGCAAGCACAAACUUUUCUCUGUGCUCUUUUUGUCUUCGUGUAUAGAUUUCCUGGAAGCUUCGGGAGCUAGCCGCUGUACUUGUCAGGUGUUUGAUGAAAUUCCACAUUUAGCAAUCAAGAAUGGAGUUGAGGAGUUGAGGGAGGGAGAACUUAGUGAGGUCUGUUAAAGGUGCAUUCAGGAUUUUGCUUUGAGUUUGCUCCUUGUGUCAGACCCCGGGGUAGCGGUACUGCUCAUAGGCAUAGAAUAUUAUAGAGUAAGAGAUAGUGCAUGGAUGUACCUUACCUCUUUUGUAACUACCCGAAUAGGCAUAGAGCUAGCUGCAGUACAAGGAAACUAUCGGACGGGGUUGUAGAAUGACUCCAACAGUACUCGGCUAAGACUUUCCAUGUAACCCUAUCCUCCCCAGAACAUAUAAGGGUAGGCAGGGACCCCCUCGAAAGACAAUCAACACUUAAGGCAAUACAAGCAACCAUAUAGGAUGUA